rnacentral:tRNA from 1 species
GCCUUCGUGGUGUAGUGGUCUGCAUUCUCGACGCGUAACCGAGAGGUCCGUGGUUCGAUUCCCGGCGAAUGCG